rnacentral:ncRNA from 1 species
UUUCACUUUGAAAGGCACCCUGAUAUGUGGGCUGUGGCCUCAGGACAGGGUUAGGAGGUCUUGGGACCAAAACAAUCUCAACCUAUCCUCAGACUUUCAGUGGGUAAGGGAAGGGGGCUGUGUCUCUGGCGUGGAGCUAUGCCAUGGAAUGCGAAUGCUCAGUGGAUGCUGAGGAGUAACCCAACACUGGGUCAAGGCACCUGAAGCCGAUUCUCAUUAGAGCCCAGAAAAGGUGUUGGUUGAUCUAAACCGCAGUGUGGUGGCUGUUGAAAUUGGAAUCCUCUAAAGAGUGUGUAACAACUCAUCUGCUGAAUCAACUAUCCCUGAAAAUGGAUGGUGCUGGAUCGGGCCUAUACCCGGCUGUGUGAG